GCGCAGCAGUCGAGAAUCUUUGCAAUGCCCGAAAGGGUGACAAUGCGACGCCGCGUGAGCGAUGAAGGCCUUGGGUUGUAAAGCUCUGUCAGCUCGGAUGAAAGCAGGGGGAGCCAAUACCUUUUCUGUCUGACGGUACGAGCAGAGGAAGCUACGGCUAACUCCGUGCCAGCAGCCGCGGUAAUCGGAGGUGGCAAGCGUUGUUCGGAUUUACUGGGUGUAAAGGUCAUGUAGGCGUC
rnacentral:rRNA from 1 species